rnacentral:rRNA from 1 species
ACUCCUACGGGAGGCAGCAGUCGAGAAUUUUUCUCAAUGGGGGAAACCCUGAAGGAGCGACGCCGCGUGGGGGAUGAAGGGCUUCGGCCCGUAAACCCCUGUCAUUUGCGAACAAAUGUCAUGGUUGAACAUUCCAUGGCUUGAUUGUAGCGAAAGAGGAAGGGACGGCUAACUCUGUGCCAGCAGCCGCGGUAAUACAGAGGUCCCGAGCGUUGUUCGGAUUCACUGGGCGUAAAGGGUGCGCAGGUGGGUUGGCAAGUUUGAUGUGAAAGCCCCGGGCUUAACCCGGGAAUGGCAUUGAAUACUGCUGAUCUGGAGGAUCGGAGGGGGGACUGGAAUUCUUGGUGUAGCAGUGAAAUGCGUAGAUAUCAAGAGGAACACCAGUGGCGAAGGCGAGUCCCUGGACGAUACCUGACACUGAGGCACGAAAGCCAAGGGAGCAAACAGGAUUAGAUACCCUGGUAGUCUUGGCUGUAAACGGUGCGCAUUUGCUGUAAACGGAAUCGACCCCGUUUGUGGCGAAGCUAACGCGAUAAAUGCGCCGCCUGGGAAGUACGGUCGCAAGAUUAAAACUUAAAGGAAUUGACGG